rnacentral:rRNA from 1 species
UCGGAUUAGCUAGUUGNNGAGGNAAUGGCUCACCAAGGCGACGAUCCGNNACUGGNCUGANAGGAUGAUCAGUCACACUGGAACUGAUACACGGUCCAGACUCCUACGGGAGGCAACAGUGNGNAAUAUUGNACAAUGGNCGAANGCCUGAUCCAGCCAUGCCGCNUGNGUGAAGAAGGUCUUCGGAUUGUAAAGCACUUUAAGUUGGGAGGAAGGGCAGUAAGCGAAUACCUUGCUGUUUUGACGUUACCGACAGAAUAAGCACCGGCUAACUCUGUGCCAGCAGCCGCGGUAAUACAGAGGGUGCAAGCGUUAAUCGGAAUUACUGGGCGUAAAGCGCGCGUAGGUGGUUUGUUAAGUUGAAUGUGAAAUCCCCGGGCUCAACCUGGGAACUGCAUCCAAAACUGGCAAGCUA